UGAGAUGCUGUUCCUACGAAGAGGGCGGAGUUCCAAUAACUCACGUUAGCAGCGCCGAUUACCUCACGCAGACUGACUGAAAAUGUCAGAAACUGUUCAGCCUUUUAUGUUCAAAACGGAGUCGGACAAUGAUGGAGAGACUCAAGAAGAAGUGACAACAUGUAGAAUGCAACAGGACGUUUCUGAAUGGUCUCCCUUCAAAAACACAUUCUGGCGAAUUAGGAUGGAGUCUUGGAUCUUUAAUUCACUGGUUUAAAUGCCUGACCCACAUUUCCAUCAUGUAGCUGUGUUCAGAUGUGGAGAAUCAAAUAGGGUGAAAGCCAGUUUGUCAGCUGCUUGUCACGCUACACACUUCCCUGGAGAAUCAAAAGACAAUGUAGUCAGACAGUGACUCACCUUUACCCUGUCGUCCUUGGCAGUGGGCGGAGUCUUGGCAUGGGCCACUGAAGGAGUCAUGAAGGGAGCGGAUGGCAGUGUACUGCACCCCCAAGGAUGUGCACACGAGCAGCAG